rnacentral:rRNA from 1 species
AGUGAACGCUGGCGGUAGGCCUAACACAUGCAAGUCGAACGGCAGCACAGUAAGAGCUUGCUCUUACGGGUGGCGAGUGGCGGACGGGUGAGGAAUACAUCGGAAUCUACUUUUUCGUGGGGGAUAACGUAGGGAAACUUCCGCUAAUACCGCAUACGACCUACGGGUGAAAGCAGGGGAUCUUCGGACCUUGCGCGAUUGAAUGAGCCGAUGUCGGAUUAGCUAGUUGGCGGGGUAAAGGCCCACCAAGGCGACGAUCCGUAGCUGGUCUGAGAGGAUGAUCAGCCACACUGGACCUGAGACACGGUCCAGACUCCUACGGGAGGCAGCAGUGGGGAAUAUUGGACAAUGGGCGCAAGCCUGAUCCAGCCAUACCGCGUGGGUGAAGAAGGCCUUCGGGUUGUAAAGCCCUUUUGUUGGGAAAGAAAAGCAGCAGGUUAAUACCCCGCUGUUCUGACGGUACCCAAAGAAUAAGCACCGGCUAACUUCGUG